GGUCUCGUCGUCCAGUGGUCAGGACAGUUGACUUUCAAUCAACAAACGCGAGUUCAAUUCUCGCCGAGAUCACCA
rnacentral:tRNA from 1 species